GUGGGGAAUAUUGGACAAUGGGGGGAACCCUGAUCCAGCCAUGCCGCGUGUGUGAAGAAGGCCUUUUGGUUGUAAAGCACUUUAAGCGAGGAGGAGGCUACCGAGAUUAAUACUCUUGGAUAGUGGACGUUACUCGCAGAAUAAGCACCGGCUAACUCUGUGCCAGCAGCCGCGGUAAUACAGAGGGUGCAAGCGUUAAUCGGAUUUACUGGGCUUAAAGCGCGCGUAGGUGGCCAAUUAAGUCAAAUGUGAAAUCCCCGAGCUUAACUUGGGAAUUGCAUUCGAUACUGGAUGGCUAGAGUAUGGGAGAGGAUGGUAGAAUUCCAGGUGUAGCGGUGAAAUGCGUAGAGAUCUGGAGGAAUACCGAUGGCGAAGGCAGCCAUCUGGCCUAAUACUGACACUGAGGUGCGAAAGCAUGGGGAGCAAACAGGAUUAGAUACCCUGGUAGUCC
rnacentral:rRNA from 1 species